UCAGGGGAUAUCCACAAGUAAUCUAGGUCUAAGCACCACGCUUACAGCUAUACUACAACUCUAACCUAUAGGGUCCUAUAGAUUAGAAGUACUCAAAAGAGUUGUGAACCAGAACAUACAUGCUAAGUAAUUGCAUAAUGAAUUAGAAGUAGAUUACUAGAGUCAUCCCAUGAGCAAGCUUGAUUAGAGCUUGAUCAUGGCGAAGUACAACCGGAGGAAGAACCGACAGGCCGGCCUCUCCUCUAAUCCUCCUUUGCUCUCCAUCUCGCUACUAUCUAGAUCUACUCUAGUUUAGAGAAGAGAGGAGAGCUCUCAUCUCUAAACCCUAGCUUUUGCUCUGUCUAUGAAUAAUGAAUAAUGAUCAAGGGGUGUCUCCUCCAGGGGCCAGGGGGUCUGGUUUUAUAGUCCCCUCAAGUGAACCUGGGCCGUCGGAUCAAACCGACAUUGAUUGAACGGUUAUUCUUGAUCCUUUAGGUCGGUGGAGCAUAAUCCGCGAGAUUGAGCGUGAUUGGCCACAGGAGGUGGGCGCCCUGUCUCUGGCCCCGAUUCACCUCCGCUUUGGUCUCGUGGCUUCUGGAGUCUUCUAGAUGUAAGAUAAUUGUGCGGCACGUUAAUAUCUUUACGUAAUCCCGACGUGUGGGCCUUUCUUCCUUAUUUCCUGAUAACCCCCUGCAGAAAUAGACAAACACCAAAACUCGUGGAAUUCUGUCAGAUAAAACCCUAAGUCUUGAUGUUGAUUUCAUUUGGAUCCUUUUCUUUGUUUAUUUGAUAGUUAAAUUUGAUACUUAAGGACCGUCAACAAACUCCCCCAAGCUUACCUCUUGCUCGUCCCUGAGCAAGGAUAGACUCAGCUAUGGAUCAUAAGUUGUUGCAAUAUCUUUAAAAAUUGACGGUACACAUGCUUUUAAAUGAGGUCUCAUCUCUGAGUUAGAGUAAACUGUCAAGACUUAAAAUUUACUUACUUUACCUUUCACCAUGGGACUUGUAACCGUCACUUCUGUCUUGAGUGGUUAAAAGAUAGAACAAUCCAGUCAAGUGCCAUGUCGCUUAUUCUUGAUCAGCUAUAGCUCUGGAGUUUUUGCAGAUUUUCAAAUAAAACUCAGAGAUUCCUUGUAUGACUCUCUCAUAUCUCUCUUUUGUGGUAUUUCUAGAUCCUUACCAAGGCAGUGAUGGUAUAUGCCUUCUCUCAAAAUAUGUGGUAUUUGUGGUAUAAGGCAUAGUGACAUUGCCUUCUCUCUCACCCUACUCUAAUAAGGCUUUAAUAUCUGGAGCUCAUAGGUGGGAGAUAAAGUAUACAUACUUACAAGACAUUUAUUGUAUAGUCAAACCAUGGAUCCAAAGAAACAAAUCAAUAAGCCAAAUCAAGAUGUGCAUGUGUGGCGAAUGAAUGGUGUAUAGUGAUGAUGGUGAUAACAAUGGUGAAAGUCUAAUUCUACUUUUGCUCUUAUGAGGGGAUACAUACCUUCCUUGCUUUUUGAAACUUUAUGAGGAGAAUGAGAUGCUCUUCUUUUUUCUUUUCUCUCAGAUGGGUAUCCUGUACCCCUAAUUCUACUGUCGGACACUUGUCCAUUUUUACCUCUCGUCUCACUCUUUUUCUUUUCUUUCGAGGUUCCGGGCACUUGCCCCUUUUUAUUUCCUCAUUUAUUUAUUUUUUCUUUUCUUUUCUUUUUUAUUCUUUUUCUUUUUUUUCAGAGCACUCAUCUCCUGAAAUAAUGUAGCAAGUGGUAGUAACCAAAAUAACUGGAGCAUUUAUUUCACAGGGAAUAACAGGGAUAGGAAAAUGUUUUUGGCUAUUCUCUCCCGGAUUAGGAGUAGAAUGAUUUCGGGUGAAACUGGAGAUGGAAAUGGAUGGAUAUAUGUGGAUGGUACUUCCGGAGUAGAAGUAGCAUAUAUGAGUGAACGUGCAAGUGAAUCUUGAUUUAACCACAUGACAAGCUCCUAAGGGUCUACACAGCUUGACCACACUCAAUGCUCAUAAGCAGUAAAUUAAAUGUGUGGCUCAAAGUCUAGCAAGCAUGUAUAUAUGGCUGUGGUAGGAAUUUAAACUUUCAUCAUACAGGAACUCAUCAUGCAAUAUUUUAAAGAUUUUUCAAAAAUAAAAUUCUCCAGAAUUCUAGCAUCUCUAGGAAUAGAUAAACAGCAGCUCAACCUUCUCAUAUCAUAUCCGUUAACAACUUAGAUUUCAGAUCAAGUUUUCAUCCCACAAGUUUAGAUCUAGAGCAAGCUUUAAAUUAUAACAAUUAUGUCUAAACUUGAGAGAGAACUUUAAAUUUGCAAAUUAGGCAGAGCAACUAUUCAUCAUAUCCAUGCUAGAGUUUUAUUAUUAAGAUUCAUAGCAAACUUUAUUUAUUUAUUUAUUUAUUUAGCAAACUAAGAAAAGAUAUAUAUAUAUAUAAGCAUAAAAUCUUUAUUUGGUUUUUCAUAGUUUAUGUAUUUUAAUAUUCUACUAUAAUAUAAGUAUAAAGAUAGGUAGAAAUACUUAGCGAGAUAAAUAGGGGUGCUCUCCCCCAAGCUGAAUUUUGACGUAAUUUCUCUUGAUGUAGCUAGCAGGUGGCAGAGGUGUAUUUGAAAGUCAGCAGCAUUCUGACAGCGAUUAGAAUGUCCUCCGUCUGCUAGUCUUCUUGAUUCUUAAAUUCUGUGGAGCUCAAAUAGACAACAAAGCUUGUGGAACUAAUUAAGUGUUAGCAUAAAUAUCUAGCCUUCAUCACGUUGAGCUUCCUCAAUAAAUAUUACUCCCUGUUUUUAUAUUUUUAUUUUAUAAAGUAGAAAAGAAAUAUUUAUUUUAUUUUUAUGCCACCACAGUGAAGGUACUUAUGGGUUUUAUGCCACUCGUAUACUCACAUGGGGCUUAGUAUUUUUUUAACAUUUUAAUUUUCUUUUCAAGAUAGCAUGAUUAACUAAUAAUCUAUUUAAGAAAAGUAAAUAAUUAAAUGGAAAAGGGAAUGCAGAAAGGAUAAAUAUGGAUAACUACCAAUCUUACCUUUCGGCGAGGGUUCAAUGUUUUAAGUCUUCUUGUCAAGACUUCUCAUCGUGUUCAUUCUUCAUGUGCGUCAUUUGAUUCAGGUGCGGACCUUGACGUCUACACCUUUUAAUACGGUGUCACCCAUGUUCUUCGUUUGCCCAGCAGUUCGAAGUGCGGUGUUGGUAGUGUCCUGCUCAGUGUGUUUGUGCUCGUAGAUCCAGGUCCUUCACUUGGUAGAGUCUGAGAGUUAUAAAACUCCUCCGUGUUUUGCUCGAAGUGUACCUGCUUAUAGAGACAAGGCAGAGAUCAAGUGCAUGGGCCCUGUUGGUGGAAAACACCAACAGAACCAAAAGUGUAUUUGUUCUUCUCUAACCUUAAGCAUAGUGAGCAAGACAAGUUGAUGGAUGAUAAGUUCAUGAGUGUAGCACUUAUAACAUUUGUCAGAUCAGAUCGCUCAACCUUAUGGAAAGAUAAUCUAUCUAUGUAUAUGUCUUUUUCUUUAUAUCUCUCAAAGAUUGAGUGUGUAACAUUUUAGCUCAUAUGAUUAGGAGUGUGGGAUCAUAGAGGUAGUACUAAGAACAAGGAUUAAAGGACUAAACAUGUUGAAUCAGUUGGGUUGGUUAAUCUAGAGUUGUAAAUCAUACACAUUUGUCUCUUUUAUUUAUAUGAAUGCCAGAACCAAGGAGGAGCUUAUAAAAGUGUUAGUCAAAUAUCUUAAGAUGUUACCUUGCUCGAAGAGUGAUGGUACAGUAUCACCUUGUGGAAGCUUUCCUUUCUUAGCGGUUGUGCAUCGUGUUCGUGGCACCCUUCAUGGAUCAUCUCUCUAUGAUGAAUGAGCUAUGUCCUUCUUGUGCAAAUUGUUAAACUUCAUGUGUCACUCUCUUCGUCUCUGAUGUGAGUUUAUCUCAGGACUUCCCAAAUCGAUAUUGAAAGUUUUUCUGCAGGGGUUAGUCCGACAAAAAUAUACCAAUGUCUACACAAGCAGUUUUUAGUUCAAUAACUGAACUAGACUCCAUGUCUAAUCAGAUUAAGGAAGGUUGUUUAACCUAAGCACCAUGCUUAAUUUAAAAGCCAAUAGAAGUAUGUGCAGUACUUCCAAACUAACACUUACUAGUAAAUAGAGAAAGGUAGCAUGACAGCAUUUAUAGAGAUCUACUCAAGUGG
rnacentral:lncRNA from 1 species